rnacentral:rRNA from 3 species
CCUGUUCCCAUUCCGAACACAGAAGUUAAGCUCCUGAGCGCUGAUGGUACUUGGUGGGCAACCGCCUGGGAGAGUAAGACGUAGCCACGU